rnacentral:rRNA from 1 species
AUUGAACGCUGGCGGCAGGCUUAACACAUGCAAGUCGAGCGGGGUGAUGGUGCUUGCACUAUCACUUAGCGGCGGACGGGUGAGUAAUGCUUAGGAAUCUGCCUAUUAGUGGGGGACAGCAUCUCGAAAGGGAUGCUAAUACCGCAUACGUCCUACGGGAGAAAGCAGGGGAUCACUUGUGACCUUGCGCUAAUAGAUGAGCCUAAGUCGGAUUAGCUAGUUGGUGGGGUAAAGGCCUACCAAGGCGACGAUCUGUAGCGGGUCUGAGAGGAUGAUCCGCCACACUGGGACUGAGACACGGCCCAGACUCCUACGGGAGGCAGCAGUGGGGAAUAUUGGACAAUGGGGGGAACCCUGAUCCAGCCAUGCCGCGUGUAUGAAGAAGGCCUUAUGGUUGUAAAGCACUUUAAGCGAGGAGGAGGCUCUUUUGGUUAAUACCCAAGAUGAGUGGACGUUACUCGCAGAAUAAGCACCGGCUAACUCUGUGCCAGCAGCCGCCGUAAUAC